ensembl:lncRNA FBN1-DT FBN1 divergent transcript
GCAGAGGUGAUCAGGUCCUGCCCGGCCUGGGACUUUUUGUCUUGAGGUGGGGAGGGGAGAAAUGGGAAGAGGUGGAGUAGCGGUUUUAGCCCGCUCUGCGGCUGCGAGGUUUAGAUCCGAGAUUAACCUCUCCCGCGAUAGGUGAAGCCCUACCGGAGCAGAAAGCUGUUCCACCUGCACCAAGAAUGCGCGCUGGAGACGGUUGCCCCGGAGGCCCUGGCCCGAGAGAAAACCAGUCCCCGCUGCCCGCGCCUCCCGGUAGCGCGCUCCCUGCGCCUCUCCCGCCGGACACUCAGCAGACGCCGGAGGCCGGGAGGCUAAGACUGGGCGCGUCGCAGGCCGGGACCGCGGCAGAGGCUGCUGUGCCGACCGAGGAGAGGGCUCUGCCGCCCCCACUUGCCCUGGGUGUCGAGAGCCCACUCCAGACGCGGCUCUUCUGAGGCUCAAUUCAAGCCACCCAGGCCUGAAUCCAGGGUGCUCUCUCUAAGUCGGUGUCCAACCCAGGGGCCUGUAAAUGUUGGAACCUAGGAUGUAGGAUGGGAGCGGUGAAGGGAUGGUCCUCUUGCCCAGCCCAGAUUAAGACUGGGGUUCAUCUGGAGGACUCUACUUACACCCUCCCGGUCCCCUCGCCCUCCCCCACACACAGCUGCCUCUCCCCAGGAUAUGCGCGGCACAGUGAAUUUAGUGGCUUUGAAAGGUAUAGUAUUUGUGGCAUCCUUAUAUGGAUAAUGCCCAAUGAUGCCUGCACCCUGUAACAGUUUAGGAAGGCCUGAAGUCGCACACUGGGUCCUGGCUGCUGUAACUGGAGACCCCCAGAAGAUCCCCUGCAAGCAGCCACCAGCCUGCUGUCAAGCCAAUAAUAAAAGCUCAGCACAAACAGAGAUGAAGAAACUCACAUUGAGAAGAGUUAAGAAACUUGCUCAAAUUCAUAAAAUCAAGAGGAGAGGUGGAUGUAAUUAAAACCAAGCCUUUGACAAAUCAAGGAAACUUUUCAUGUCGUCACUGCUACCUCAUCCGUGGCCACAAAAUCUCAGUCAAGAUCUAGGGUUGAUGCAAACUGGAGUCAUUCCCAGUAUCCACAACACUUCUCUUGUGUCUUCUGGGAAGCUAAGAUUUCAUCCCUUGAGUUUCAUUGCUGCCUGAAUCUAUUGCAUCUUACUUGAGAGCCUCAUUUAUUCCAUGCUACAAGAUCCAUGCAAGAUUCCAGGAUCACCAAGAUCACUCCAGGAAAUGAAGAGAUCAAGAGAGCUGCCAUGGACAAGUCUCUGCCUCUCUGCUUCAGCUUCUAGUUCCCUCAUAAUAUAGGACAAUUCCUUGUACAAAACGGGUGCUCCAUAAAUAUUUGUUGAAUGAACUUCUUUUCUAGAUGGUGACGUGAUGGCAACCUUAAAACCUCAUGCCAUUCUUCCUCAUCAUUCUCUGGGUUAAAGAAAGGCCUAAACUUUUCCAGCAAUUGACAGAGCCUUGGUGUGUCAUAUUGCCUCAUUGUGCCUCAGUUGUCCCAUCACUCCCACUUGGGAGAGGAUAUGAAUGAAUGGAUCUUAGUUUUAAAGAGCUGAAGGUGGAAUUCAGUUGCCUGAUUGCUAGCAUAGAUAGUACCUCUAUGUAUGUGCCAUUUCUUUUUUUUUUUUUUUUUGAUUGUUUAGUUCAUUUAUUUGUGUAACCAAUUUUGAUUAAAAGCUGAACACUGUGCUGGAAGCUGAGGCUUCACUGGUGUAGGGAUGCCAUUUCUGCCCCCUAAGAAUCACAAGGGCUAGAGCAUUGCAGGAGGUCCUUACAGCAACAAUUACCAUGAACUAAGCCUUUGCUUAGUGCAGGCACUGUGUUAAGAGGGAAGUUAGUAAUGUUCUUCCCAUUUUAGAAUUUUGUAACUAUAAAAAUAUAAUGCAGGCUUAAGAAAGAGCAGUUUAAAAUGACAUAAAUAAACCUUUGUUUUAGGGAAA